rnacentral:rRNA from 1 species
GCGUGACCAACCUGCCCCACUGCUCCAGAAUAGCUCUUGGAAACGGGUGGUAAUGCUGGAUGCUCCAACUUGACGCAUGUCUUGUUGGGAAAGUGUUAGUGGCAUGGGAUGGGGUCGCGUCCUAUCAGCUUGUAGGCGGGGUAAUGGCCCACCUAGGCUUCGACGGGUAGCCGGCCUGAGAGGGCGGACGGCCACAUUGGGACUGAGAUACGGCCCAGACUCCUACGGGAGGCAGCAGAU